rnacentral:lncRNA from 1 species
GAGGAUUCAUAACUGCUAACCCAUGUCUGCUCCCAGAGCUAGGUGACCCAGCAGCCAAGCCCUUGAGUGGGAACUGCAAAAGCUGGGGCUGCCUAUGUGUGGUCCAAACCCUCCCCUCUCCAGGAGAAAGCUGGGAGUAGGGAUUCCUUCCUCACAGUAAGUGUUUGUCCAACAUGAUGCUGCCCAACUGUACCUCAAACUCUGGAACCUGAUUAAGGACCAGAUCGCUGAUGUGCACUUGGUGGAGAGACUGCAGGCCCUGUAUAUGAUCCGGAUGAAGGACUCCUUGAUUUGCCUUGACUGUGCCAUGGAGAGUAGCAGAAACAGCAGCAUGCUCACCCUCCGACUUUCUUUUUUUGAUGUGGACUCAAAGCCCCUGAAGACACUGGAGGACGCCCUGCACUGCUUCUUCCAGCCCAGGGAGUUAUCAAGCAAAAGCAAAUGCUUCUGUGAGAACUGUGGGAAGAAGACCCGUGGGAAACAGGUCUUGAAGCUGACCCAUUUGCCCCAGACCCUGACAAUCCACCUCAUGCGAUUCUCCAUCAGGAAUUCACAGACGAGAAAGAUCUGCCACUCCCUGUACUUCCCCCAGAGCUUGGAUUUCAGCCAGAUCCUUCCAAUGAAGCGAGAGUCUUGUGAUGCUGAGGAGCAGUCUGGAGGGCAGUAUGAGCUUUUUGCUGUGAUUGCGCACGUGGGAAUGGCAGACUCCGGUCAUUACUGUGUCUACAUCCGGAAUGCUGUGGAUGGAAAAUGGUUCUGCUUCAAUGACUCCAAUAUUUGCUUGGUGUCCUGGGAAGACAUCCAGUGUACCUACGGAAAUCCUAACUACCACUGGCCUCCUUUUCUUUGUCAUGCAUGCAUAUUAAUUGAGGAUGGAGAAUAUCUACGCUUGUUCAGGCCAGCCAACAUACGACAGUUUACUUCAAGAGAGGAGACAUGGGUUGAAUGCUGGUGUGUUUUAACUCUGCAGCGCAAACAGUUGCAACAAGUGUGGUGAACUAAACACCAGAUGGCCCUUUGCUGCCUUAUUUGUCAUUGUGCCUUACAUGUAGCUUGCAGGAUUUGAUUACGCUUAUGUUUUGUGGUGAUCAUACUUUCAACUAUUCCUAAAAUACUGCUUCAGUCUUAUCUGUUUGGGGUCAACUGCCGAGGAUUUCAUACAAAUUAAUGAAGUUUGUGAAUCUAAAG